rnacentral:rRNA from 1 species
CACCUACGGGAGGCAGCAGUCGAGAAUUUUUCUCAAUGGGCGAAAGCCUGAAGGAGCGACGCCGCGUGGGGGAUGAAUGGCUUCGGCCCGUAAACCCCUGUCAUUUGCGAACAAGUUAUUUUACCUAACACAAAGUAUUGAUUGUAGCGGAAGAGGAAGGGACGGCUAACUCUGUGCCAGCAGCCGCGGUAAUACAGAGGUCCCAAGCGUUGUUCGGAUUCACUGGGCGUAAAGGGUGCGUAGGUGGUGAGGUAAGUCUGAUGUGAAAUCUCCGGGCUCAACCCGGAAACUGCAUUGGAUACUAUCUUGCUCGAGGGUUGGAGGGGGGACUGGAAUACUUGGUGUAGCAGUGAAAUGCGUAGAUAUCAAGUGGAACACCAGUGGCGAAGGCGAGUCCCUGGACAACUCCUGACGCUGAGGCACGAAAGCCAGGGGAGCAAACGGGAUUAGAUACCCUUGUAGUC